CCCAGUGAAUAAUUUCUCAGUGGUCCCUUCAUCUUUGCAUUAUUGCUCAAGAGUUAAAGUCACAGGCGGCAGCAUCCCAUUGGUUGAACUCAGGACCCCAGGUGCCCACGCUAACUCCCCGGGGAUGGAGAGAAGGAUUACCUCUCCCCUUCAGGUUCUGUGCUGGGAGGGACUUUACUCACCAAGACUUAUGCAAUGGAAGACUCGCCCAGCAUAGAAAUAAAGUUUGGAUGCGGAGUAGCCAAAGGAACUAACAAGCAUCCACCAUAGCGAAACUAGUGCAACGGAAGCAUCAGACACAGAACUGGGUAGGAGCGGGAACCCCACACGCCCGCAGCUGCUUCCCAGCAUGAAAAGGUCUGGGAAAUGAGGGAAAACUUCAUAGAUUUGGAUAAGAAUGAUUUUAAAUUUGUUUCCAUUUCAACUGGGCAAAGGUGGACUGGAAAAUACCUUGUAGGGUGUACUUGAAUGAAACAUGUCGCCUUUGACCUAACUCACGAGGCGAGGGUACACCGAAGCCCCGCAGGGGACUCGGGCGGGCUGGCGGCUGUGCGCAUGCGCGCCGCGGAGCGCGGCCUCUGGGUCCACCUGCUGGUGCAGCGUUUCUACAGCUUCUCUCUCGCUGAGCCUUCGCUCUGCGAGGCUGCGGCUCCCAGCAGCAUGGGGAUGAGCAACAGCGUGCCCAGGCGCAAAGUCUAGCAUGGGUGCCCCGAGAGAUGCAGGGCACCGCAGGGCUGAGGCAGAGGAUUUCUGUGGUUCGGAGACUGAAUGCAGCGUUGACACCGUGGCUCUCAGGGGUCUGCACCUCACCCUUAUGGCCGGGACAGAGGACAGACGCCUGCUGGAGGCCGUGAUCCUGCAGGGGCCUUCUUGCCGGGCCUCCUUCCUCCCCCUUUCUCACACUCCUCCUUCCAGGACCGUGUCGGCAGAAGAAAGGUCGCCUCAGCAGGGUGGAGAGGAAAGUGACGGAAAAGAAAAACCGCAACCAGAUGGAUUCGCAAGGCUUCAUCUUAGCAUUAUACUGGGGCGGGACCAGUGCUGCUUCUGGGUCCUUCUGGGGCUGUGGCCAUGAGUCUCAGCAGUAGUGAAAGUAGACUCGACCCUAGCUGUAUGGGCACCAUUCUGAAGACAGAACCAGUUGGGGUCAAUCUGCCCUGGGAGGGAGCCAUGGCCCUUUCCACUCCCAUGGGGUCUUUCGGGCAAAAGGCAACCGACACAGGCAGCUGCUUCUACUUUUCAAAAGUUGCAAUUCAUUAGUCUAGUGUUAACCUCCUUUAAAUCUAAAAACCAAAAUCUUCAAAAAAUAGAGUCUUGUAUUUUAGAAUGUGAAAUGAAAGAGAGCAGUCACGUCUGACCCAUCCCUCUCACGUUUAGGAUUCUUUGUUAGUGUGUCCGUCAACUCGCGUUCACCCUGCUCCUUUCGAGGUCAGAGGCUUGCAGCUUUGCGAGCAGCCCUCUCCAUCACUGGACAGCUCUCGCAGGGAAAGAGCACGUCCUCACGCUGAGCCAGGGUCUGCCACCUGGGGCCUUCCUCCCAGGGCUUCUGGAGCAUGUCACAUGAAGUCCCACCCCUCCUCCACAGGAGAGCGCUUCAAGUGUCUGAAGACUGUAAUUUCAUCUUCUCUGAGUGUCCUGUUAUUCAGAACAAGCAUUUCAAAGGCUCUCAACUAUUCUUCAAAUUACACGGUUGCUGCACCGUCACUUUCUGCUUGCUCUCUACCAGAGGCUCCCCAGCCUGUCCAAGUGCUGAGUGUGUACUCUUGACGAACGCUGAGCAGAGGACCUGAGGAUUAUAGUCUUCCUUAAUUGACAUUACCCCUAGCAACGCAGUCUGGUCUUUGAAAGUUUUAUGAGAACCUUGCCAUUUUACUAGCUCAAAAUGGACUUGUGGUCAGCUAACCCCAUGCCACUCCCCAAACUCAGGGUCUUAUAUUGUCAGCUUAUUUGAGCCAGAGUAUGGGACCUUCUAUGUGCAUGGUUAAGUAGGAAGAGACUGCUUCUCAGGGAAAGUAGGCAUUUCCUCUAAGAUCCCACAACUAGUAACUGAGGUUUUAGCAUAUCAUGCCUUGACAGCACAUCAAAGUCUUUUUCAAUCUUGACUCUAUCAUCCAAGAAAUUAGCAGAAUCAAAACAAAACAAAACAAAAAUAAAAAGAGCGCUUCAAUGAUUCA
rnacentral:lncRNA from 1 species